CUGUCAUGCUCUAAAGGCAUAAUCCCCUUAUUUGUAAUCAUUUUUUGACAAAAAAAAUUUUUCCAAAAAGUCUCCCUUAAAAAAAAUCAAAAAAAAAAAAUUCCGACCUACCCACCCUAAUUUUGUUUAGUAUGUUACCGGAAACAAAGAUUUUUUUUAGGCCUAAUGAUAUGUUUAGGUAUUCAACAUCUUUGAGAACAUUUCAAACAUUAAAUUUAGAAUUAUGUUAUUCGAAAUGGGGAGGGAAUUUGUCAGAAAUUGUUUAAGGUAUUCAGUUAAAUUAAAUUAAAUUAAUUCAAAAUUUGUAAAAAGAUAUUUGUUAGGGCAAUUACAACGACAAGAGUUUCCCAAAUAGUGUAGUGUAUUCUUUCAAUUGUUACAUAUAAAUUCACAGCUUAAGUUACUGAAAUCUAAAAAAAUUAAAACACACUUUUUUUCCCCCCAGUUUUUAUCAAUAAAUGACAAUUUUCAGCUGUAUGUGAUUUUUCUCUGCAAAUCAUGAGAAAAUAUACAACAUCUCUUAAUUUUCCAUCCCAUGAAAGUAUAACACUAUAUUACAAUAGAAAACAUGGAAAAAAAUGAUACCUAUCAUGCAAACCAUUAUUCUGCAGACAAACCGAAUUUUAAGUAUGAAUUAAAUAGUAAUGAAACAGUUAUACUCUAGGUAAUAUUGGUAUGAUGAAAAAUGAAUAUUUUUGAAUAAAAUUACCAUUAUUGAUUGUAGAUCUAUAGAACUUUUAAAGUAGCCGUAAAUAUAUUUAUUUACUUACCUUUUCCUGUGGAAAAUAAGCAAGACACAGAAGGUCGAACAAAUCAGCAAAACAAGCACACGUCUGAUCUCCAUGAUGAUUUCUAAGUUAAAUGAUUAUUAAUUAAUUAGCGGCGCCUAAUUGCCAAUAACUGGUCCUUCAAUAUACGAUUCGUCACCCGUGUCGGUGGACAAUAUCAAGGUCACAUUUGAUGUUUCGGCGAUACUUCCUGUCAUAAAGCGCGUGCCGACAAGCAGCGCGUGCCACCCGCUGUGACGUUCAAAUUCAGCAUCAUGGACGGUUUCAUUCCAUUUUAAAAAUAGGAUGGCUUGGUGAUUCUUUCCUGCGAGUGUUAGAUCUUGGGUCCAAGGACUGGAGAAAUCCAUGAUAGUGACAGGUUUAAAGAAGGACCGGCCAAACAUUUGCUUACGGUUACCUUCAUAUAAGGAAAAGACAAGUGUGUGGAUGCCAGAAAUUUCAGAGCCAAAGAUGAGUUCAAUGAAUCGUUCCUUCCCCUAGAGACAAGGGCAGCCUUUAUUGAGAAGUUUGAAGAGAAAGUGACAGAAUUGGCGAACAAUAGCAACAACACUAACAGUGAAUCUGGGUCCUCAGCAGCCGGUGACACAGCGACCACUCGAGAAUGAAAGUGAGCCCUUGGUGGAUGAAAAUGAACAACCAAGCAAGAAAGUAAAGUUCUCUGUUGGUGAAAAAGUUUGGGCGCUGUACAAGGAUGGACAUUCCUACAAGGCCAGGAUUAUCAGGAUUAACAAAAAUUCCUACAGAGUGAAGUAUAUUGAAGAUGGAGUUGUCCAUGAUGUUGAUGGUGAAGGACUUCUAACUUGUGGUUGAGCUAUAUGCCAGAUUAUAUGAUCAGAUCCAACUAUAUGUUCCAGAGUUACGGCUCUGAAUUACCAGAAAGUGCUAAUUUUCAUCUUGUGAACACAUUAGAGAUGUCAUUUAGUGUUAGAUCUUAAUCAAACUUGCACUUCAUUUGUAUCAAUCUAAGAUCUAUGUUCCUUACGAGAACCAGUCAGAUUCCAUAUUACAAAAAACUAUGAACUGAUUUUAUGUCAAAUUAACUCCCUCUGUUUCAAAUUAAAAUAGGUAUGUCCCAGUAACUAAUGAAGAUACUGAUUUGAAAUUUCAUUUAUGCCAUUAGAUGGACUAAAACAAUCAGGGUAGAUAACUAGUUACAAAUAACCUCACUUUAUUUUUAUGUUUUAUAUAUAUUGCAUGACCAUCUUGUUUUUCUGUGCUAGCAUCGUUAAUACUUUGUAAUACCAUUUUGUAAUUUCAUCCAGGUUCUCAUCCAGGCAUAGUUUUAUUUGAUUUUUGAACUGGUUGUGACUUCGGGUAGAUAGUUAUUGACGGGGACAGUCUGUCGCGUCCAUUACCUCCCUUUGUUUCGAAUUAAAAUAGGUAUAUCUCAGUAAGUAAUAAAGAUGUUUUUUGAAAUUUGAUUUAUGCCCUGGGAUGGACUCAGACAAUCAGGGUACAUAACUAUGGACUAAUUUUAUGUCAAAUUACCCCCCUUUGUUUCAAAUUAAAAUGGAUAUAUCUCAGUAACUAAUGAAGAUACUGAUGUGAAAAUUCAUUAAUGAUGUUAGAUGGGCUCAGACAAUCAGGAAAGAUAACUGUUGACAAAUGACCUACCUUUAUUUUUAUAUUGCAUGGCCCUCUUGUUUACUGACCUAGCAUCAUAACUACUUGGUAAUACCAUUUUAUGACUUUAUCAAGUUCAUGAAAUUCAUUCAUUUGAUUUGGGUUUUAAUAUAAAGAUGAACAGGAUUUAAACUAUAUGCAUUUAUCCUGUCCUGUAUUGUCAUUUUAUUAAAGAUAUGAUAUAAUUGGUAUCAUGCUCUUGGUUUAAUUAUUGAACUGAUCAGUCACGUGUUUCAGAGUUGUGGCCCCUGAAAGUUUUAAUAUCCCCCGCCAAUCAAAAUCGGGAGAUGGGUAUUGAAGCAUUGUUCAUCCGUCAGUCCGUCCGUCCGCAGCCAUUUCUCAGUAACUAGAAUGUAGAAGUUCAUGAAACUUAAAAUAAACAUGAACCAACAUACUGCGAUGAUGCCCGUCAAUUUUUUUUUUGGAUUCGUCAAUUUCCCUUAGAGUUAUUGCCCUUGAUUUAAUGAAAAAUACCCAAAAAUGUCCGUCCGCAGCCAUUUCUCAGUAACUAUCAGUUAGAAUUUUAUAAAACCUGAAAUAAACAUACUGCAAUGUUUAUCGGAUUGGUCAAUUCCUUUAGCGUUUUUGCCCUUGAUUUAAUGAAAAUUGCACGUCUGCAGCCAUUUCUCAGUAACAAGCUGGUAGAAUUUCAUGAAACUAGAAAUAAAUACGAACCAACAUACUUCGAUGAUGCCUGUCUUUUUUUUUUCAAUUGGUCAAUUUUCCUUAGAGUUAUUGCCCUUUAAUUGAAUGUUUAAAAAUCUACAGAGUUGUACAUAACAAACUAACCCAUUGGUAGAAUUUCAUUAAACUUCUUUCAUUCUUUUCCAUGAACAUUUAGUAUAAACAUCUGAAAUUUUGUACCCACACCUGGUCACCACCUUGCCUUACCACAUCACAUCCCCUGCCCCUGCCCCUCCCCUCCACCCUCCAAUAAAAAAAAUGUUUUUAUAUAUUAAUUUCAAACGUUCCAUGAAUAUUUAUUAGCAUGCAAAGUUGUACCGUUCCCCAACCUCUCUCUCGCUCUCCACUUAGUCUUGCCCACCACCCCGAUAAUGCAUCAACAUCCCCCACCCUUUUUUUUUACCUUUUUAAUUUUCAAUAUUGAUAAUCAACACGUGAAAUUUUGUACCCUAUCCUCCCCCACCAGACCCC